GCCGGAUAAUCGCGCCAAUAAAGGUGAGGAAAGUCCGUGCAUCCAAGGACAGACCGCCGGAGAAACUCCGGACGACGUGAGUCGGUGGAUAGGACCACAGAAAUGACAUUAGACUGCCGAUGGAUUUUAUAAUCACAGGCGAUGGUGCAACGGUGAGGUAAGAGCAUCACCAGCGGUAUUGAGAAAUACCGGCUAGGCAACCCCCGGUCGGAUGCAAGAUUGAAUCAAGCGUUUGAGGUGUCCGCCGAGCUUGAAAAAUCGCUGGAGAUUGGAAGUAAUUCCAAUACAAGACAGAUGAUUAUCUAUUACAUUUUAUGUAAAAAACAGAACACGGCUUAUGAGCUGCUUUU
rnacentral:RNase_P_RNA from 1 species